rnacentral:rRNA from 1 species
AAUUUGUGACCAUGGGGGAAACCCUGAUCCAGCCAUCUCGCGUGUAUGAUGAAGGCCUUCGGGUUGUAAAGUACUGUUGGCAGAGAGGAAAAGGUAUCUCCUAACACGAGAUACUGCUGACGGUACCUGCAGAAUAAGCACCGGCUCACUACGUGCCAGCAGCCGCGGUAAUACGUAGGGUGCAAGCGUUAAUCGGAAUUACUGGGCGUAAAGCGUGUGUAGGCGGUUCGGAAAGAAAGAGGUUGAAGCCCAGGUCUCAACCUUAGAACUGCAUUAAUAACUGCCGAGCUAGAGUAUGUCAGAGGGGGGUAGAAUUCCACGGGUAGCAGUGAAAUGCGUAGAUAUGUGGAGGAAUACCGAUGGCGAAGGCAGCCCCCUGGGAUAAUACUGACGCUCAGACACGAAAGCGUGGGGAGCAAACA